ACCCCACUUGAUCAUCUUGCUGCUCUUCCAGUUUCUAAUCCAGGGCAGACCGUCUGCACUGUUUCCUGAUUAGUCCUGACUGACAGAGCAACACGUUACAUCCCCUCUCACGCAAGAAUGAUUGGACGAGAACUUGGAAAAGGGAGACUCAUUCCGGGAGCCAGACAUGGACAUUUGUUCUACAUUUUUGGACAACCGUCUUCUAAGUCUGGGGUUCCCAAAGAGUGGGUCGGGACCCCCUGGGGGGUUGCGAGACACAAAUGUGGGGUCGUGUGAUGUCUUCCAGAAUGAUUUUUUUUAAAGUUAUCU